rfam:Vitis vinifera, whole genome shotgun sequence of line PN40024, unoriented chromosome 9, chr9
AAGCCAUGGUGAGGACAAGUAUUAAUGGCUCCCAUGUAUCUUUCCCAACACUCAUAGAAUUUCUCAUUCUCUUUAGAUGAGAAGUUUGAAAUUUGUCUUUUCAAGCU